rnacentral:tRNA from 1 species
CGGGGUGUAGCGCAGUUUGGUAGCGCGCUUGCUUUGGGAGCAAGAUGUCGUGAGUUCGAGUCUCGCCACCCCGA